rnacentral:sRNA from 1 species
CAUCUCAGGUCCGGCGUCGGAGGGUUAUCUGUUCAUCCCGAAAGGGAAUCUCCCUCUGGCACAACCUUGACCGGGGU